UGCUAAUUUACAAAGAAAGAGCGCCUUGAUGUAUUUCCUGUACGUUCCCACGCGAAACGCGAGAGAACCAAAUCCCACAAUAAAGGCUUUCUGGUGAUGUGUUAGGCACGAGCUGUUUUACAUAAUAAGACACAAUUUCAACUCAGCCAGGAGCCGAGGGCUUCAAACUACAGUUUCUAGGAUAAGUGGAGGGAACUCAGAAAAGGCAUGAGAUGAGAAGUCAGCAGAUGAAGGGGAAAUGCUCAGAGGGAUGGAGCUCCCAGAGAAAUGAGCAUUCAGAAACUGGCACCGAGGUGCAGCUCUGAUAAAAGUUUUCUGUUUCCCUGUGACUCAUUUGACAUUAACAUAAUUAUGCUACAGGAGUCAAAGUGAUUUUCCAACUAUGAGUAAUGCACAGCACUAGACCGAAUGUUUACAGGACACCGAGGCAUAUCAGCCAGCUGAAGUAACCAGCUGCUGAUAACAGCUGAAGUAAG